rnacentral:rRNA from 1 species
UACAGAGGGUGCGAGCGUUAAUCGGAAUUACUGGGCGUAAAGCGUGCGUAGACGGUAGCGUAAGUCAGAUGUGAAAGCCCCGGGCUCAACCUGGGAAUUGCAUUUGAGACUGUUCUGCUCGGGUGCGGAAGAGGGAAGCGGAAUUUCCGGUGUAGCGGUGAAAUGCGUAGAUAUCGGAAGGAACACCAGUGGCGAAAGCGGCUUCCUGGUCCGACACCGACGUUCAGGCACGAAAGCGUGGGGAGCGAACAGG